AUGGACAGAUAGUCUAGCUAGCUGUCUGGAUUUACCCUGCAGAGAUCAGAGGAGCAGUUAACCAUAGUCCUCAUAAAUCCACCGGAGUUUAAAAUUCCAACACAAAGAAAGUGGAAGGAAACGGAUAUCCAGGCGAAAAGAGCGACAUCCAGUGGAAUUUCCGGCGGCACUGGAGCAAUCUCGGAAGUGGAACGUCGUGGAUAUCGACUAGUUGAAAGGGAAAUGAGAAGACAUGAGAAUGACAUGAGAAAUAAGAUAUUAACUCUCUGUGGCUAUGCAGACCAUUGUGUGAUGGUUUUUAGCUAGAUAUUAAUAUUUGCCUUUGACUCCCAUCACCAUGUUGAGAUGUACCAAUUGCACCAGCUCUUCAUCAGUUUAGCUUUCUUAUAACAUACAGUAGGUGUUUAUUAAUGCUAAUUGGAGAUUUCCACAUUGAAUUAAAAUGGGUCGACCACUCAAACAUAUUCUGCAGAUUAGUUGUUAUUAAAUACUUAGACAUGCCACCAGCCAGGUGUUACUGUUACCUAGCUGACUGAACCAACUGACAAAACUAAUGUUUUUGUUUUAUUAUGAAGUUAAUAGGAAAUAUGAUUGACAUAUCUGACCAGACACUGGAUCAAAAUGUCUUUAAAUAAUGAAGUGACCUGUAAAGUUUUUUAAUUAAAUUUUGUGAAAAUAACACAACACACCUCAAUUAUGUAACGGUAUGCUAAUAACGUGCAUGCUAAUUGACCCGUUAGCAUAAUCAGAUAUUUCCAGCUCUUUCGAUACUGCACGAAUACUGCUAACUGUGAAAGGCAUAUUUCUUAUUUGAAUUACUUAAUGCUAGCACAAGAAAAGCAAGUUUUUAUGGUGCAACUCCAUUUAGGAAAUCACUAAUUUAAAAUUAGAUACUAAGAACUUAGGAAGGACUUUACACACAAACUUAGCGAUGGAUUUACGAAUAGCUGGUGCAACCGAAUCAUGGUACCUGAUGUGAAAGUGGAAAACCUAAAGUUAUGGGGCCUUGGAUAAGAGUCUCUAGUGGUCAUCCAGUUUACUUCCAGGUAGUUAUAAGUUAAAUUAUCAUGGAGGUAAACUCAUCUUGAGCAAAAGCUAAAAUUCUGCUGCUUUUUAUUAUCAAUCUUUGGUGCCAGAAACAUCAGUCUUAAUUUCGUUAACAAUGUUAUAUUCAAAUCACUGAUUUAAAAACUGAAGUCUAUUGGGAAAAAGUUGGAUAAUAAACCAACUAAAUGGUGCUGCUUUUUAUUUAAUAAAUACAGUACUAGAUAAACAAUCAAUGCGCUGUCACAAACAACCAAUGCAACACAAUGUGCGGUCAGCUGAUCAAUCACAUAAAAAUCUAUUUUUAUGACUUUUUGAUCGAGUGAUUGUCCCUGUGGGUUGGACCAGGGAGAUUUAUCAUAUAACAACACAUUUCUUUGGAUUUGAAUAUUUUGUGUGUUUUGUUGAUGUGUGCGUGCGUGUGUGUGUGUGUGUGUGUGUGUGUGUGUGUGUGUGUGUGUGUGUGUGUGUGUGUGUGUGUGUGUCUUGUUUUUGUAACGCAGUGCUGACCCAUUCAGAAAAGAGAGGGUGGAUCUGGGUUCAGUGUGGCUAGAUUUCCCUAUUACUAUCCAACUGUGGCCUGACCCGCAUGUCUCUCACACACACCCAAAUACACAUUGUCCCUAAGUCAUUAGCACUCUGUUGAAAAAUAUUUUGGAUACCAUACCAUAGCAUAUACUUUACUUUUUUGUGCUACAUAUUGUGUUUUUGAUUCUUAUUGAAUUUAGACUUACAACCCAUCAUGACUCCAAGUAUAUAUGUGUUUUCCUAGUUUCCAGUUUCAAACCAACCUUUCACUGUAUUAGAAUUCAUGAGGCAUUGUUUAGUUGUCAUAAAUUAUUGUAGCAGAGCUCAGACAAUACAUUUCAGUGAGCUAAGAAGUGUAUUCAGUCCUACAAAUCCCAAAGUAACCAAGUCAGCGGUAGAGUGUUUCAAACAUGCAGUGCAAUAUUUCAGAGAAGAUUAAAGAAUGGACUUUUAAAAGCCCAAGGCUGAGAUUACACAUCUUCUUGAAAAACACACCCAUCUAUAAUUUUACAGUUUUUUUCAUUGCAGAGGUAGGGGCCUUUAACAGUAUGACAGUGGGUUUCUGGAAAGCGUCUGGGUGUGUGAAGCCAGGCAGUUGGCAGAGCAGAGACGUUCCCCUGCUGUUGCCACAGUGGCAGGCAGACGGGACAGAGACAGACCCAGCCUGACAUAUGUUGGCUUAGAGGAGACGAGAGCUCCGCACUGAGCCCCAAACUGCUGGUGUUGUAUAUUGUUGUGAAGCUGUAAGGCUGUUCUGUGAGGAUCGCUAGGCACUGUGCUGGGUAUUUUUCAGAUCUCCCUUUGACUAAACAAAGCAGCUUAUGUAAGAUUUCAGGUCCUUGGUGAGAUCAAGUAAAUAGCCUCCAAGGUCCUCAAAGCUUGCGUUGAUAAAUGUAUUGCUGAAUAGUGGCCUACGCUAUAGUACAUAAGCAUCAGCACUACACUUAUUUCUAUCAAUCUGUGCUCGACUAGUUUUCACUGAAGGCUGUCUAUUGAAACAACAGAGGAGUUGAUGCAAAUUGAUCAGGGCUGUGAAAUAAAUUAAGUGUAUCUGCACUCUUUGUUCAGUUUAAAGGAAAUCUCUUGGUCCUCUGAAAAGCAUGCAACAUAAUUGCAAUGAGACCAAACCAUUUCAAAUUGUAUAGUGGAAUCAAGAAACAGACUUUAGUCAAUUUACAGUUAGAGGAAAGAAGUGGACUUGUAGAAAGCAUACAUUUAGUUUGAGAACUUUCCCUUUUGGAAAAUAUUACCUUGGUACUCCUGAGACUCUCUCCUCUCGCCGUUUUCUAAACUAUGAACAAAUCUCUCUGCUGUGAUGGCUAGGUCAAGUUUGUCUCCUACUGAAAGUCAUUUUUCAUCUAUGAAAGGUUUUUAACUUCCUUUUCGUCCAAAUAGGUAUGAACACACAUGAACUUCUAUAAAGGGCCUCCUGUUACAAAGUGAUCUUGUUUUUCCUUAUUUCAGUUGGUGUUUUACGUUGGAUCCCUUCGGUUGUGUGGGUUGCAUGUGAUACUGUGAACAUUGGAGGAUUCAAUGGUGAUUGUGAUUCAACUGUGGUGAAAUGAUGGUAAUGUAACAGCUAGUCACCAACCAAAACCUUGUGAAAACCCCAAGGGCAGAAAAGUGCACCAGUGUCACAUUUAAUGUCAUGAGGGCAGCAAUUAAGUACAAGUGCCAUCUUUUCUGACUUAUUCAGCAUACUGUAAAAUUAUUACUCUACACAGCCACAUUUUCCUUCAUCAAUUUUAUGUAAGCCAAUCAUUUCUGCCAUCGCCUUCCUUUCCACAUUUUCAAUCACAUAUUUCUAUCAUUUCGACAUCUGUGGCUUCACUUCUGGUACGAGUGUCUACUGUCUGCUUUUACUUCUAGAACCCUUGAUGUGAAACAUUUCAAGGGGACUUUUUCAUGCUGUGGAAAGAGCGUCAGACUCACUAAGUAGACUGAUACAACACUUCCUGGAACUUGGAAUGUGAAACCACACUAUAAUUACUAGAUUAAAAUGAAAAAGGUAGUCGUUUAGCUAAAACUAUUUUCAUCUCUUGUAUAUCAUAUCUAUAGUGAGGAUGAAUAUAAUGCCAAAUAUUCAUUAUUUGUAAAGAAAUAUAUAUAGAUAUAUAAAUAUAUAAUAUAUGCUUCAUUGAAACAACUAUUUUCUGCAUUUGCUCAUGUUUUAUUGUCAUUUUUACUUUAUUAUGGUUAUUUUAGAAGCUGAUAUGAUGGCAUGCGAAAUACUGAUUGAAUGUAGGCUUAUUUAUAAUUUUUUGUUUUUAUAACACUGUCCCACUGAUAUGUUAUGUAUUUUAUUUAAGUCAAUUGCAUUUCUCAAUGUGUGCUAUUUCAGUGCAAGUUAACGUAUCAUUGGGUUAUUUUUGUAUUAUUUUACUAAGUUUAGUAGACGUUUCCCUCCAUUCUUUCCUAGCUGAGCUAUUGAAAGAUUUUUGCCUCUUUGAGUAGUUUGGUCAUUGCUGAGAUCAUCCAGUGUAAAUAAUUCUGCAAUUAAAUUUUCGAAGAAAAAGUUUGGAAAA